rnacentral:lncRNA from 1 species
UUUAUCUUCUUCCACUCAAACUCUCUCAUCUCGACUACACCUUACUGGCUGCACUGGUGAAGUUUCGCUUCGGUGGUCAUGCUACUAGCUUGAGCUAAUGAAUACGCCAGCUCAAUCGUGAAGCUGACACCUGAUGCUUGUCUUGGAUCCUUUAGUUCUUUAAUUAAGUAAAUAACAGUAGUAAUCCUCCAGAUCAUGUCAUGAUAAAAUAUAUUCAUACCGGACUCGAGAUAUCCCACAAAAGCAAUAAGUAAUUUUCCGAUUUGCGAUGAAAAUAAAAAUAAUUAAGCAGUUGACCCCUUCAUAUUUUACAAAUUGAAUUACAAUAAUGUAAGAGUAUAGCUAUUGUACUACUAGCUUAAACUCUUCCAUGUUGGUUCCACAAACAAGACGAAGAACAACAUUUAUCAACAGUUAAAGUGGACUUUGCAUGUAAUCAUGUAAAUACCCAUGUAAAUGGUGGGUGAUCUGAGUAACCAUAUGAACAAAUAACGUUCACCCUCCCGGUCAACUGAGAAACAGGUAUACUGGAUGAAGAAACACAUGGCAUCACAUAAUCAAUUGGUUAAAUCGGAAUUAUCAUAGUGAGGCUUACAGGUGAGGUGGCUUUUUCUUCCAGGAAAUGGUCAGACUCGCAAUAUUUGCCUCUUCAGAGAAACCAUCUCAUCUCUUGGAGGUGACCUUUUCUUUUCUUCCGGGUAAUAGUCAGACUCGCAAUCCACCGGUACCAACUAGUGAGUGCGGCACAUGACCUGUGGUUCUGCAUUUGCUUGUUCUCACAUCAUGAUAAUCUGACAUCAGUCCUAUUGUCAUGGCUUGUAUUGUCAUGACGCAGACAUGACGCUGAUUGAUGACGGGUCAUC